rnacentral:rRNA from 1 species
GAUGAACGCUGGCGGCGUGCCUAAUACAUGCAAGUCGAGCGAACGGACGAGAAGCUUGCUUUUCUGAUGUUAGCGGCGGACGGGUGAGUAACACGUGGAUAACCUACCUAUAAGACUGGGAUAACUUCGGGAAACCGGAGCUAAUACCGGAUAAUAUUUUGAACCGCAUGGUUCAAAAGUGAAAGACGGUCUUGCUGUCACUUAUAGAUGGAUCCGCGCUGCAUUAGCUAGUUGGUAAGGUAACGGCUUACCAAGGCAACGAUGCAUAGCCGACCUGAGAGGGGGAUCGGCCACACUGGAACUGAGACACGGUCCAGACUCCUACGGGAGGCAGCAGUAGGGAAUCUUCCGCAAUGGGCGGAAGCCUGACGGAGCAACGCCGCGUGAGUGAUGAAGGCCUUCGGAUCGUAAAACUCUGUUAUUAGGGAAGAACAUAUGUGUAAGUAACUGUGCACAUCUUGACGGUACCUAAUCAGAAAGCCACGGCUAACUACGUG